rnacentral:rRNA from 1 species
AGAGGGUGAAACUCCCGUCCGCCUGGUAGAAUGAGUCUUUGUCAACGAGUCGAGUUGGUUUGGGAUUGGCAGCUCCUAAUUUGGUGGUAAAUUCCAUCUAAAGCUAAAUAUUGGUGGGAGACCGAUAGCGUACGAAGUACCCGUGAGGGAGAGAUGCAAAGAACUUUGAAAAGAGGACGAUAAAGGAGUACCUGAAAUUAGCUGAAACGGAAGCGAAGGAAACCAGUGUUUGUUGGUUCAUAUUUCCCUGGCCACUUGUGGUUUGGGGCGCCUGUGAGCUUGCGUGGGGUUUGGGUUGGUUGAUCCCUUUCGGAAGAGCGCAGUCAGAGUUG